rnacentral:lncRNA from 1 species
CCAAGUACGGUGGGUAUGGGUGCGUGUUGCGUCGUCGUUAAUGCUCUUUCUAGGGCAGCGCGCCGUGCUGGGCGUCCGACGUGGGGGAGUGUAUUACGUCAAAUCCGGGAUGUUAUGUCAAGUCAGUUUUUUACCCCUAUCAUAUCCCAAACCAACAUCAUACUUUCCGAGGCUCUAUACACCUGAUUCUAUACUGGUGACGGCUUCCAAAACCUACUCCUGUAAUAGAAUGAAGACUCCGGAACCCUAUAAAUGAGCCUUUAAAGACUGUCGCUAUCAAAUGCAUUUCUGGAUUCAUCUGGACUGACGGUUCCACUCCCCUUUUGCUUUGGCCGGUCCCCGAAGUCUAAGGUAAGUUGUUUGUCUCAUAGGCAGAUUAGGACUUCUAAGCGAGGUGUUAGAGCUAGCCCCAGAAAAUUUACCAUAAGGUAAUUUUGGCAACCCAACAAGACAAUAAAGCGGAAAGAAUAAAAGCGAGACAAGAACACCAGAACACCAGAUAUACGUGGUUCGGUCAAUUGACUUUGACCUACAUCCACGGACGAAAGAGGAGCAAAUUACUACUGCAAAAGAAGGACAAUUAUAAAUACCUUAGGAAGAUGUUCCUAGGCCAUAAAACACUUGAAAAUACUAAACAAGAAAAACCAAACUAUAAGUCCAAACUAUUUAACUGAGUAUGGACUUAAACCAAAGCAAAC